CCUACGGGUGGCAGCAGUGAGGAAUAUUGGUCAAUGGGCGCGAGCCUGAACCAGCCAAGUAGCGUGAAGGAUGACUGCCCUACGGGUUGUAAACUUCUUUUAUAAAGGAAUAAAGUGAGGCACGUGUGCCGUGUUGUAUGUACUUUAUGAAUAAGGAUCGGCUAAAUCCGUGCCAGCAGCCGCGGUAAGACGGAGGAUCCGAGCGUUCUCCGGAUUUAGUGGGUUUAAAGUGAGCGUAGAUGUGUUGUUAAGUCAGUUUUGAAAGUUUGCGGCUAAACCGUAAAAUUGCAAUUGAUACUGGCAGUCUUGAGUACCUUUGAGGUCGGCGGCAUUCGUGGUGUAGCGG
rnacentral:rRNA from 1 species